GUCCCUGUAGCACAAUGGAUAGUGUGUUGGACUUGUAAUUCAAAGAUCGUGGAUUCGAAUCCCCUCCUGGGAUA